UCUCUAUAGACAGUUUUUCCCAACAUUUUCGCGUGCCCUAAACUAAAGAUCGCGUAGAUCGUGGAUGGUGUGGUUCGAGCUGCAGAUUAAUGGCGUAGGCUGAAGUCGCCAGUCUUUAUCGAGAAUCUUCAUCACUAAACACGAAAACCUUCUCGCGCAACCCUAACCAGUGUGCUCUGAGUCCAAGAUUUUUCGCGCGCCCUCAAAGAUUUUUUGUUUGCCUCAAAAUUUCUCGCGUAUCUGAAGUCAUCGUUGAAGUUGGAACUAAAUCGAAGAACAAGUUAUCUAUCGUGAUUGAACCUAGGUUGAAUCCCUGGGAUUCAAAAUCAUCAAUUGUCAAGACCCGAUCCAGUUGCAACACGAACUUUGGAAACCCAAGCUUGGUUUCUCCCAAGACCAACACAGUAGCUCCAAGCUUGAGGCACUUGUAAGAGGUUUUUGCAUUCUCUGCUGCAAAGAUGAUGUUUCAGGUGAGCUAGGAGAUGCAUAGUGGCGGAGAGUGGACUCAGAGUAUGAGGGGAUUUUAUAAUUGCUUUUAUUUAAUUUCCAUGUAAUUUGAAUACAAUUUUCAUGGAUUUGGAUUUUAAAUUGUAAAGAUGAAUUUUGUGACACUUGGACUAUUAAUAGUUUGCUAUUAAGGGUUAAAGCCAUAAUUUCCCGCGUUUUGGGAAUUGGUUGGACAAUAAAUGAGGUAUUAAUUAUAUAAAUUGUUAUUUCA